GAUGAACGCUGGCGGCGUGCUUAACACAUGCAAGUCGAACGAGAAGUGGAGACGGAAACCUUCGGGCGGAAGACUUUAUUUCGAGUGGCGGACGGGUGAGUAACGCGUGGGUAACCUGCCUCAUACAGGGGGAUAACAGUUGGAAACGACUGUUAAUACCGCAUAAGACCACAGCACCGCAUGGUGCGGGGGUAAAAACUCCGGUGGUAUGAGAUGGACCCGCGUUCGAUUAGCCAGUUGGCGGGGUAACGGCCCACCAAAGCGACGAUCGAUAGCCGAUCUGAGAGGAUGACCGGCCACAUUGGGACUGAGACACGGCCCAAACUCCUACGGGAGGCAGCAGUGGGGAAUAUUGCACAAUGGGGGAAACCAUGAUGCAGCGACGCCGCGUGAGUGAAGAAGUAUUUCGGUAUGUAAAGCUCUAUCAGCAGGGAAGAAAAUGACGGUACCUGAGUAAGAAGCCCCGGCUAACUACGUG
rnacentral:rRNA from 1 species